rnacentral:tRNA from 1 species
CGGGCCGUGGCGCAGCAUGGUUAGCGCGUCUGACUGGGGGUCAGAAGGUCGGCGGUUCGAAUCCGCCCGGCCCGA